GGAAACCAGCUUAUUAAAGGGAACCAUGGAAACAGGAAACAUUUUCAAAAGGAAAUGGAUCUUUUGGUGCAGUGGAGGCAUGAUAUCUAGUUUUUGUGAGGGCAGCAUCCAUCUACAUCAACUCUGUGCCCUGAAGAGAAUGGAAAGAAGAGGAAAAAAAAGCAGUGGGAGACAAGUUUAUGUGAAGGGGCAGUGUAUUAUAAAACUACCUACAUCAAACGAUCUCCAGAAAGUUAAAAUGAUGCCAAUGGAAAGCAGCUGUAGCCGAGAUUCUUAUCCAAGGAUGGAAAAGAGUGCUUGAAACCAAUGUGAACAUUAACCAAC
rnacentral:lncRNA from 1 species